rnacentral:miRNA from 1 species
ACUUGAUGGUGUUUAUGACAUCGAUAUUCGACGUCAUAAACACCAAACUUGCUCGUGUUUAUGACGUCGAAUAUCGACGUCAUAAACACCA